rnacentral:lncRNA from 1 species
CUCCAUUCAGAUAACUUCUUUGUUCUUGGAGAUUUGUUUUCUCAUUUGUGAGGUAUUUUCGUCUUGUGAUUUACACUUAUGGUGUGUUUGUAAGGCUUAUGCCUUUUUGGCCAUUUUGUAAACUCUAUUUGGUGAUAGUGGAAGAAAUUGACCUACCGGUCUUGUGGAUGUACCUCAAUUUGAGGGAACCACGUAAUUCUUGUG